AAGCCAACAAAACAAAAGCAACCUUUUCUCAGAGUCAUUCCGUCUUCCGACCGGAACGCAAAUACCGUGUUCUAGUGGUAACCCUGUGCUUUUGGUUGCCAAAGGUUUUAAUGUAAUGUGUUGGUGUGGUUUUAUCCGUUGUUUUAUUAGGUUUAGUUUACAUUUUUACAUUAAGUUUCGGUAGUCAGCUGAAGCGUAGGCGGUUGUCACUGUGUUUUUUUUAAAUCUUACCUUAAAUAUGAACGCCGUCAAGUGGAAAUUUGUAAACUUUUGUAUUUCUUUUAAAGAAUUUUGGUUUCCCUGAAUUCGUAUAGGCUGGUUUUGGUUUACACUCUUGCAUCAUCAGGUGAUAAUCAUCACAAAUGACGUCAGCUUAUUCGUCUGUUGGUUUCCAACAUGGUUUCCAAUGGUUUCUGGACAACAACUUUGGGAAGUGAGAAAAGUUCAUUGUGAUGUCUGUGAUCUGUUUGAAUCACUCUCUGGUUCAAAAUUGUAAUAAACCAUGAGAUGGAGAAAAAAGCUGGUGGACCACAGUAAAAAAAAAAACAAGAAUCAAAAGAUUGAUGUUGCAUAACUUCAGGAUGGUGUCUACGUAAAAUUCUGGUAUACUUAAAAGCAUUCCAAUGGGUCAUCCGUUUGGAUCUGCAAUCGGUGGAGGUUGUCCGCUCCAUUUGCUUUCAACUAUCUUUUCGACAUUUGAUCUUUAUUUUACCUCUUAAUCGCUUUUAUUUGAUUUAUUCGCCAAUUCUCUGUGAUAGAAGAGUCCGUCCUUUGUUUUAGACGAUUUCCCUUUCUUUUUUCUUAUAACCUCUAAUCUGUAUUUUGUUUUUUAUUUGUCCAGUGGGAUUCCAAAAAUCAUCGUAUCUCUUGUACUAUACCGUCUAAAUAUUUGAACAACUCACUUAUUGAACGCAACCGUCGACACAACCAUCUGUACAUAUAUAUAGAUUUGGAUAGAUUCAAAUAGCUUUUUGGAAUUUAGAAAUUCAGUCGCGUUUUUCGGUUCGUCAAAAUACACACACAUCUUAUUUGGUGGGAAAAAAACAUUGAAAAA